rnacentral:rRNA from 1 species
CAGCAAUGGGCAACCGGCGAACGGGUGCGUAACACGUGAGCAACCUGCCCACUUGUGGGGGAUAGCCGGCCCAACGGCCGGGUAAUACCGCAUACGUUCUCUGAGGGGCAUCCUUCGGAGAGGAAAGCUUUCGGGCGCAGGCGGAGGGGCUCGCGGCCUAUCAGCUAGUUGGUGGGGUCAUGGCCUACCAAGGCGACGACGGGUAGCUGGUCUGAGAGGAUGGCCAGCCACAUUGGGACUGAGAGACGGCCCAGACUCCUACGGGAGGCAGCAGUGGGGAAUCUUGCGCAAUGGCCGAAAGGCUGACGCAGCGACGCCGCGUGUGGGAGGACGCCCUUCGGGGUGUAAACCACUGUUGCCCGGGACGAAAUUCCGUUUUCGAACGGAUUGACGGUACCGGGUGAGGAAGCACCGGCUAACUCCGUGCCAGCAGCCGCGGUAAUACGGAGGGUGCGAGCGUUGUCCGGAAUCACUGGGCGUAAAGGGCGCGUAGGCGGCUCGGUAAGCGUGUGGUGAAAGCUCGGGGCUCAACCCCGAGUCGGCCAUGCGAACUGCGGAGCUCGAGCCCACUAGAGGCAGGCGGAAUUCCGGGUGUAGCGGUGGAAUGCGUAGAGAUCCGGAAGAACACCGGUGGCGAAGGCGGCCUGCUGGGGUGGAGCUGACGCUGAGGCGCGACAGCGUGGGGAGCAAACAGGAUUAGAUACCCUGGUAGUCCACGCCGUAAACGAUGGGCACUAGGUGCUCGGGGGAGCGACCCUCCGGGUGCCGGCGCUAACGCAUUAAGUGCCCCGCCUGGGGAGUACGGCCGCAAGGCUGAAACUCAAAGGAAUUGACGGGGGCCCGCACAAGCGGUGGAGCAUGUGGUUUAAUUCGACGCAACGCGAAAACCUUACCUGGGU